AGUGAACGCUGGCGGCAGGCCUAAUACAUGCAAGUCGAGCGGCAGCGCGGGGGUAGCAAUACCUCUGGCGGCGAGCGGCGGACGGGUGAGGAAUACAUCGGAAUCUACCUUGUCGUGGGGGAUAACGUAGGGAACUUACGCUAAUACCGCAUACGACCCUGGGUCGAGAGGUACGGGUGAAAGCGGGGAUCGCAAGACCUCGGCGCGAUGAG
rnacentral:rRNA from 1 species